AUCACUUCUCGGCCUUUUGGCUCAGAUCAAGUGUAGUAUCUGUUCUUAACAGUUUAA
rnacentral:snRNA from 1 species